rnacentral:rRNA from 1 species
CCCUUUGGGGUGUGACUGCGUACCUUUUGUAUAAUGGGUCAGCGACUUAUAUUCUGUAGCAAGGUUAACCGAAUAGGGGAGCCGGAGGGAAACCGAGUCUUAAUUGGGCGUUAAGUUGCAGGGUAUAGACCCGAAACCCGGUGAUCUAGCCAUGGGCAGGUUGAAGGUUGGGUAACACUAACUGGAGGACCGAACCGACUAAUGUUGAAAAAUUAGCGGAUGACCUGUGGCUGGGGGUGAAAGGCCAAUCAAACCGGGAGAUAGCUGGUUCUCCCCGAAAGCUAUUUAGGUAGCGCCUCGUGAAUUCAUCUCCGGGGGUAGAGCACUGUUUCGGCUAGGGGGCCAUCCCGGCUUACCAACCCGAUGCAAACUGCGAAUACCGGAGAAUGUUAUCACGGGAGACACACGGCGGGUGCUAACGUCCGUCGUGAAGAGGGAAACAACCCAGACCGCCAGCUAAGGUCCCAAAGUCAUGGUUAAGUGGGAAACGAUGUGGGAAGGCCCAGACAGCCAGGAUGUUGGCUUAGAAGCAGCCAUCAUUUAAAGAAAGCGUAAUAGCUCACUGGUCGAGUCGGCCUGCGCGGAAGAUGUAACGGGGCUAAACCAUGCACCGAAGCUGCGGCAGCGACGCUGAUGCGUUGUUGGGUAGGGGAGCGUUCUGUAAGCCUGCGAAGGUGGCCUGUGAGGGUUGCUGGAGGUAUCAGAAGUGCGAAUGCUGACAUAAGUAACGAUAAAGCGGGUGAAAAGCCCGCUCGCCGGAAGACCAAGGGUUCCUGUCCAACGUUAAUCGGGGCAGGGUGAGUCGACCCCUAAGGCGAGGCCGAAAGGCGUAGUCGAUGGGAAACGGGUUAAUAUUCCCGUACUUGGUGUUACUGCGAAGGGGGGACGGAGAAGGCUAUGUUGGCCGGGCGACGGUUGUCCCGGUUUAAGCGUGUAGGUGUGUGUUCCAGGUAAAUCCGGUUCACUUUAACACUGAGGCGUGAUGACGAGGCACUACGGUGCUGAAGCAACAAAUGCCCUGCUUCCAGGAAAAGCCUCUAAGCAUCAGGUAACAUCAAAUCGUACCCCAAACCGACACAGGUGGUCAGGUAGAGAAUACCAAGGCGCUUGAGAGAACUCGGGUGAAGGAACUAGGCAAAAUGGUGCCGUAACUUCGGGAGAAGGCACGCUGACACGUAGGUGAAGUGAUUUACUCAUGGAGCUGAAGUCAGUCGAAGAUACCAGCUGGCUGCAACUGUUUAUUAAAAACACAGCACUGUGCAAACACGAAAGUGGACGUAUACGGUGUGACGCCUGCCCGGUGCCGGAAGGUUAAUUGAUGGGGUCAGCGCAAGCGAAGCUCCUGAUCGAAGCCCCGGUAAACGGCGGCCGUAACUAUAACGGUCCUAAGGUAGCGAAAUUCCUUGUCGGGUAAGUUCCGACCUGCACGAAUGGCGUAAUGAUGGCCAGGCUGUCUCCACCCGAGACUCAGUGAAAUUGAACUCGCUGUGAAGAUGCAGUGUACCCGCGGCAAGACGGAAAGACCCCGUGAACCUUUACUAUAGCUUGACACUGAACAUUGAGCCUUGAUGUGUAGGAUAGGUGGGAGG